rnacentral:lncRNA from 1 species
GUCGUCCAUGGCCCACGCGGAGGAAGGAGGCGCAGAGGAGGGGAGCGAGGGGAGGACGACGGCGCUGGGGAGGAAAGGGUUCGAACCGAGCGAGGGCUCCUGCUCGCUAGGGUAGCGGGGUUAGGUGGGCCGGCCUGGAGGUCCAAGUGGCCGGCUGGGCCUUGGGCAGUUAUCUCCUCUCCCAAUAAAAAAAGGAUACGCGAAAAAAACUGAUUGUAAAAUUAAUGCGAGAGGCAAAAGAAUAGGAAAUAAACAAAUAAAAAA